AGGUGCGAUCAUACCAGCACUAAUGCACCGGAUCCCAUCAGAACUCCGCAGUUAAGCGUGCUUGGGCGAGAGUACUACUAGGACGGGUGACCUCCUGCGAAGUCCUCGUGUUGCACUUCUUU
rnacentral:rRNA from 1 species